UGAAUUUUUGGAGUGAAAGUUUUGUUAUGGCAGAAGUGACUGACAGCUUUUCGCUGCUGUUUCUGAAAGACUUUCUGUACAUGGGAACAAGUGGUAGAAAAGAAGGGGCCUUUACAUUUCCCUUCCAGCAUCAGAAUUAUGAAACAGAUGAAGCUGGAGGCUGGAAUACGCUAUGGUUUUGACAGCUUUAUUAGAGACAUGGUUGUGGAGAUUUAUUUCAAAUUUGCACGUAAAAGUGAGGUGGUUAACAUUUUGUAGUUCUUAUUUGCAGUCUUACUAUGUUCUGUCUGUCGUGCAAGCAUUUAAAUCAAAUACCUGUAAUUAACUUUUGUACAUUGUAACGUGCAGGACAUAUCGUUGGUUUUGUGGUAUACCUGUUAAGGGCCAGAAAUGCUAAAAAGUGUUAAUACUUCUGAGAAUGUGCUAUAGCAUAGCAAGUUCUGGUGGUUCUCAAUGAAAUGACAGAUGAUCUGUCCACUAAUUUUUAGUUUUCUUCUUAGAAUGUGCUCAGAGUAAAUGAGCAAAGUAUGUUGAGUAUGGAGGAGAGCAAGUGGAAGAGAAAACUUUGCUGCCAAAAGGUUGCCAUCAGUUGCAUUGAAUUUGAGCAUGUGUGUGAUAAGCCUGUAAAGGUUUGUAGUGGCCUUUGACAGAACACCUCAUAACUCAGUAGUUUCAUGGAGAAAUGACUUGAGGAUUUCUGUGUGAUGUCCUUGUACCUUCUUUUUCUCUCUUUCAGACAUGUCUUGGUUGGAUGCAGAGUGGAAAGGGAUUUUAUUGCAUUCUGUUGUGCAUGGUGCAGAAGAGUCCGUCAUAAGAAUGGUCUUUAACGAUUAGUUGUAGUGACGAGCACUCUACAGGAAAGUCAAAAUAUUUUUCAAACCGCGUUAGUGAUGUAAUCCUUGUAGGCCAGUCUUGAAAUGCAUGUUGUAGUAUAAAUUCCCAAAUGUUUGCCAGUUUCUUCGGCCAUCAGUUCAGCUUAAUACUUAACUAUCAAGAAUCUAAGGUUAUAAAUGCGGUGGUGAAGGGCUACUGAUAAUUUGGGGCUUUAUUUUGAAGAGGUAGGAUUCUUUGUCUCGUUUCGAUUAUCUUUUUAGACUGUUUCAAAGGAUGGUGUUUGGGAAGAAAGUAAGUACGUGAAGAGAGUGAUCCGAGCAACAUCUGUUUGAAGAAGUGGGUAAGAUUUUCAUAAAAUAUAUUUGCUCUAGAGAACUGUCUGUGUCUAUUUAAAAUAGCUGAGAAAAAUAUGUGGAAUUUCAUUUUUCUGGUCCAGCUGUGUAUCAGUGGGAGGAGUACAACAUGACAUUUGUUCGGAAUAGUUUUCAUUUGGUGGGAGGGGGGUAUUCUCCUUAACUGUUUUUGAUUAUCUUUUCCAGCUGACCCACAUUUCAUGCAGGUUGCAUAUGCCAUAGUUGAAGAACACAGUUAAAAAGAGAUGUCCCCAGGAGGACUAGGAAGCCAAAAACGUGUGCCUGGAAUGUCUGUGGGAUAAGGAAGUUCUCUGUUGAAGUGUAGUUUCUGGUAUGUUGCUAACCUUUCACAGCCAUUUAGAAUCAAGGAACAGAAGUGUUGUAUGUUGGAUUUAAGGCCAACAAGGGGUGUUGAAAUUUUUUUAGUUUCCCAGAUUGUCUGCCUGGGAUUUGCUUUGUAAAGUUAUGUUUAUAGUUUGUUUUUCUUUUCGCGUUUUUUAUUUUACCUCAUUUGAUGCAAGAAAUGAACUUGAAAUCCUUUCUGUAUUUGCAGAAGUAGAGUUACUUUGAAAAAUCUUUGUGGCUACAGUUUUCAUACAAGAUGCAUAGUUUCCAUUGUUAAACUCUGAAAAAUAGUCAUAGUGCACUUUCUCUGUGCCCUGUGGCACAUUCAGUGAAAAUGUUUAAGUGGUACUAUUUUAAUUGGUGGAGCUUUUGGCUUAUAACUUUGCAACUUGUAGUGAGUUUCUUGUCAGACUGCUUUGUGUGACCUGAUAACAUUCUACAAUGAAGUGUAGGGAUUCUGUGGAAUAUUUCUUUCUUUUCUUAGGUUACUGAGGUUUAGUGAUCAAAAUUUUGGGAUAACAAAUAUCUUGCAGGAUUGUUGCGAUACCUUAGAAGGUAGUUGUGCUGUUAACCUGGAAGAUUAAGGGCCUUGGGCAGAAAGAAUGAAAAGUAAUGUAACGUCUGUGUCCUGUUUUUGCAUAUACUUUCAAAGGUAAGUGAACUACCUUUGCAGCUGCGAUAGAAUGACGAGAACCACUUAGGGCUAUGAUCAUGAAGUUGAAUUUUAAUUGCAUUUCAGAGUUGUGACGGCCUAAAGAAGUGCGACAAAUUCCAUCUGGUGAGGUUAGUUCUCUGGUUGUGGACACUUGUCUUGAGUGGCUGGGUUACACGUCAUACAUACCCUUUCGAGUCAGUAUCAUAAAAAUUGGUCUUUCCGCAAAAGAAGACAGACCCUGCAUCAAAGUGAAUGAUCAGAAGGUGCUUCGACUUUGAAACCUUGAUUAAGCUGAGGCCUUUUCAUAUUAAUUCAACAUUGUUCUAACAAGAUUGUUGCGAUACCUUAUAAGUUGGUUCUGCUAAUAACCCGGAAGAUAGAGGGCCUUGGGCAGAAAGAUUGAAAAGUGCUGUAACGUCUCUGUCCUGUUUUAGCAUAUACUUUCAAAGAGUUGUGACGGCCUAAAGAAGUGCGACAAAUUCCAUCUGGUGAGCUUUAAACAUUGCUUGAAUUUCUGUCCAUUACUUCACUGAUUAUGCGCAUGUCUUAGACUGUCGUCAUGCACUCUACACAGGCAGGAAGGCCAUGUUGACAAAGACCAGGAAUGCCAGCAUUCAUUGUAACUUGGAUCACAACACUCAGGAUGCCAUCUCAGUCAUACUGUCCUGCACCGUACUCCACACUAUUGUCAUUACCAAGUAAAAGCAGCAUUUCUUCUUAUGGACGUGGUCCUGACCUAUUGGUUUCUUAAAAUGUUCCUGGAGAUGAGUCUGUCACUGAUGAGGCCAAAGCAUUAGAAGAUGCAAGACGUGUGGUAUUUACAUGCAUUGGUACUGGUGUCACACAUACUUGAAGUUUGUAAUUAUUUGUUAAUGUCUAUUGAUUGAAAAGUAACUGUUACACUGUUAACCAUGUGGCUGAGAAUGAGUUAGACAUUUGCUUGUACUGUUCAUGGUGCUACAUGCAAGUCACAGCGUUUUUAGUGGUUAUCUGGACACAUGAUUAAAGAUGUACUGCAGUACAGAAUGUUCAGGCGUAAA